CUCAUAAGGCAGAUCCCAAUGAUCACUAGGUAAUUAAUGGCACCAAUAAACUGAUCUAGAUUAGGUGUGUGUGUGUGUGUAAUUCACUGUUUGAUCUGCUGCAGUCUCUGACAAGACAGCCAGACGUUACCCUACGGAACGAGCUCAGAGCUCAUUA